UACGUAGGGAGCAAGCGUUGUCCGGAAUCAUUGGGCGUAAAGAGCGUGUAGGCGGUCCGGUAAGUCAGCUGUGAAAGUCAAGGGCUCAACCCUUGAAAGCCGGUUGAUACUGUCGGGCUAGAGUCCGGAAGAGGCGAGUGGAAUUCCCGGUGUAGCGGUGAAAUGCGCAGAUAUCGGGAGGAACACCUAUGGCGAAGGCAGCUCGCUGGGACGUUACUGACGCUGAGACGCGAAAGCGUGGGGAGCAAACAGG
rnacentral:rRNA from 1 species